AUUGAACGCUGGCGGCAGGCCUAACACAUGCAAGUCGAGCGGAGCGGCGGACGGGUGAGGGAGACCUAGGUCUGUGCCUGGUCGUGGGGGAUAACGUCCGGAACUGGGAGCUAAUACCACUAACUCUCGGAUGCGGCUAGGUCGGAUUAGCUAGUUGGUGGGGUAAAGGCCUACCAAGGCGACGAUCCGUAACUGGUCUGAGAGGAUGAUCAGCCACACUGGAACUGAGACACGGUCCAGACUCCUACGGGAGGCAGCAGUGGGGAAUAUUGGACAAUGGGCGAAAGCCUGAUCCAGCCAUGCCGCGUGUGUGAAGAAGGUCUUCGGAUUGUAAAGCACUUUAAGUUGGGAGGCGUUACCAACAGAAUAAGCACCGGCUAACUUCGUGCCAGCAGCCGCGGUAAUAC
rnacentral:rRNA from 1 species